rnacentral:rRNA from 1 species
CGGUAAUACGAAGGGACCUAGCGUAGUUCGGAAUUACUGGGCUUAAAGAGCUCGUAGGUGGUUAGAAAAGUUGGUGGUGAAAUCCCAAGGCUUAACCUUGGAACUGCCAUCAAAACUUUUUGACUAGAGUAUGAUAGAGGUAAGUGGAAUUUCUAGUGUAGAGGUGAAAUUCGUAGAUAUUAGAAAGAACACCAAUUGCGAAGGCAACUUUCUGGAUCAUUACUGACACUGAGGAGCGAAAGCAUGGGUAGCGAAGAGGAUUAGAUACCCUCGUAGUCCAUGCCGUAAACGAUGUGUGCUAGACGUUGGAAAUUUUAUUUUCAGUGUCGCAGCAAAAGCGUUAAGCACACCGCCUGGGGAGUACGACCGCAAGGUUAAAACUCAAAUGAAUUGACGGGGACCCGCACAAGCAGUGGAGCAUGUGGUUUAAUUCGAAGAUACGCGCAGAACCUUACCAACACUUGACAUGUUCGUCGCGACUUUAAGAGAUUAGAGUCUUCGGUUCGGCCGGACGAAACACAGGUGCUGCAUGGCUGUCGUCAGCUCGUGUCGUGAGAUGUUGGGUUAAGUCCCGCAACGAGCGCAACCCUUACUUUUAGUUGCCACCAUUUAGUUGAGCACUCUAAAAGAACUGCCGGUGAUAAGCUGGAGGAAGGCGGGGAUGACGUCAAGUCCUCAUGGCCCUUACGUGUUGGGCUACACACGUGCUACAAUGGUACUUACAAUGAGAUGCAAAGAGGCGACUCCUAGCCAAUCUCAAAAAGGUACCUCAGUUCGGAUUGUACUCUGCAACUCGAGUACAUGAAGCUGGAAUUGCUAGUAAUCGCGGAUCAGCGCGCCGCGGUGAAUACGUUCCCGGG